AGAGGGUUGUUUAUGCCUACCGGCAGGGCUGCCUGCGACUUCUCCAGCUCGCCAGCCUGGCGAUUCCUUCUGGAAUCGCGGAGUCCUGUCCAGGGCUGCGGCGCCGCUCCGCCCGGCGCUGAGGUGAUGUGGUGGUGGCGGCGCCGGGAGCGGUUCCUGCGGACGGGUUCCCGUACCGCCCUCCUCCUCCGUCCACAAGUUGCUCGUAUCGCCUCUCCUACAGUGGCAGAGGGAUUUUCAAUUAAACUAUAUCAACGAAGCCGUGCGCGGUCUAGCUUAGUUUCUGCAGAUUGAAAUAUUGUUAAUGCCAGACAGUGAGCAAGUUGGUCAUGCAACACAACAAACUGCUUUGGAAGGAAAAACAGCUGAGCAGAGAACAGAUAAUACAUACGUCACUUCAUCUUCCUGCUGUGAACCACAGUAAUCCCACAGAGAUCUGCAAAAAAAGAAGAAAUUUUUUUCUGCAUCUAGCUAAAAACUUCCACAUGUCGGAAAAAAGUGUUUUAGGAUAAAGAAGAUUACUUUUCUGUGACAGGAGCAUCCUGGAAUCUUCUUCCUUGGUUAACGCUUUAAGUUUUACUAUGCUGAACUAUUUUGAGUGGAGAGAAAACAACAUAUCUGUGAGGUUAAGCUUGGUUUUAGAUAUUCAAAGACAAAAUAAAAUAAGUAAAAAUUCUGUAGCGAUCUAGGCCAUACACACUACAAUACCGUGUACCCCUGUUGGAAUAUCUAUACAAAUUCUCCUAUUUCAGCAUAGCUCAGAGGAUUAAAAAAUGUAUACUUUUACUGAUCUUUUCAACGGUUUAGCCACAUGUUGGUGUUUUAUUCAUAGAUGAUUUUUAAAUUAACUGAUGCAUUGAAAGGAGGCAUUAAUUCCUUCCUGAUAUUAAAUUUCCUGAUUGCAAAGAUUGUAAAGAAAGUACUCACUUAAAAUUCUCAGAUGUCAUCAGAACCAGCUAGGUUAUAUUUUUAGACUGAUAGGAAAAUAAACUGUCUCCAUGACUCAUCAA